GACGAACCGUGCGAACGUUGUUCGGAAUCACUGGGCUUAAAGGGCGCGUAGGCGGGUGACCAAGUCAGGGGUGAAAUCUUUCGGCUCAACCGGAAAACAGCCUUUGAUACUGGUCGUCUGGAGGGAGGUAGGGGCAUGUGGAACUUCCGGUGGAGCGGUGAAAUGUGUUGAUAUCGGAAGGAACGCCGGUGGCGAAAGCGACGUGCUGGACCUCUUCUGACGCUGAGGCGCGAAAGCGUGGGUAGCAAACAGG
rnacentral:rRNA from 1 species